AUUAAUCUUUCCCUCGGUUUGUCCCCAAACCCAACAUGUAAGUUAUCUUGCAUGAAUACUUCGUAUAACUAGACUCUAACUUUUCAUUUACCUAUCAACACUCCUUGUUUCUUAGUCAUUCUCUUAAAAAAUUCCUAGGCGAUUUUCAUCUUCAUAAAAACUCAUAUUCAAUCAUCUCUUCAAACAUCAACUCGAACAUUAAC
rnacentral:lncRNA from 1 species